UGUCAGCUCUCAACAAUAUGACUAUAAAAACAUCUCUAAAAUCUGAGAAGUCUAGCAUCCAUGUCAUAGAGCAAAUAAACUGUUCAAUAUUACACCAUCCACACACGUUUCGCCUGCCAACCACGAUGUUGCUAGAUUGAUCACAUUAUUGACGUCUGUUGAUAAAAUUGAUGCUCCUGGAACUAUCAACCAAUCUCAACAACGCAACGAUCAAAUAGAGGAAAAAUUAUCAGCGCUCGUCAAAUGAAUCUUCAAUAAGCUUUUAACCUCUUGAACCUCCAAUAGCAUCGUAUGCAAGAAGGCAGCUUUUUCAGUGAUGGACCACCCCACUAGAGAGGGUUUAAAAUAAUAUAUACAUCCUAAUUAUCUAAUUAAGUCACAGCAAAGGCUGAGCUGGUGUAGGGUGAAUUUUUAAAUGCAAGACUUUC